AUUGAACGCUGGCGGCAGGCUUAACACAUGCAAGUCGAGCGGGGUGAUGGUGCUUGCACUAUCACUUAGCGGCGGACGGGUGAGUAAUGCUUAGGAAUCUGCCUAUUAGUGGGGGACAACAUCUCGAAAGGGAUGCUAAUACCGCAUACGUCCUACGGGAGAAAGCAGGGGAUCACUUGUGACCUUGCGCUACUAGAUGAGCCUAAGUCGGAUUAGCUAGUUGGUGGGGUAAAGGCCUACCAAGGCGACGAUCUGUAGCGGGUCUGAGAGGAUGAUCCGCCACACUGGGACUGAGACACGGCCCAGACUCCUACGGGAGGCAGCAGUGGGGAAUAUUGGACAAUGGGGGGAACCCUGAUCCAGCCAUGCCGCGUGUGUGAAGAAGGCCUUAUGGUUGUAAAGCACUUUAAGCGAGGAGGAGGCUCUUUUGGUUAAUACCCAAGAUGAGUGGACGUUACUCGCAGAAUAAGCACUGGCUAACUCUGUGCCAGCCGCCGCAGUAA
rnacentral:rRNA from 1 species